UGUAUUUCAUCCCAAUUAGUGUAGUCUUCAGUGUGAAUGCAUUAUUUGUAUGGCAACCCUGUCUUGUGCAGGUCCUCCACCAGAUGGCACAAGAGUACGCUCUCUCAGUGCAGCACAUGUAGACAAAAGAACGAGGGAGCCAUCCAGAGUACAUUUGCUGCCCUCUGCAGGAUGGAUGCACAAAGUACAGAUGACUGAACCUUCAGGGAGAGACAGCCGAUUGCAACCUCCCUUGAGAAAUACACAGAGGUAGAGCAGUGCACUGUUUUCAUGCUUUUGAAACGUUUCCCUUCUACUUAUUGUCUGUAUUAAUUCACUGAUUUGACUGGACCCAAAGAAGUGAACCCAUAUGGAUCUUUCAGAGGGAGUCCUUCAGAUCCUCACAGCAGAGGCCAAUCCGGUCAGACUCACAGCAAUAUCCUGCUGACCUUAGCUCCCGUUUAUCAUCAGGAUCCAGUGCUGGAUACAGCUGUUUUCAUGUAGUGAAACCGUACCAGGCUGGAUCCUACAUCAUUCACCCGGAAUUUGUUUCUGAGUCUCAACGCUAAAACAACCGAUCAGUGUGUCUUCUUAAAUAAAGGAAUG